rnacentral:rRNA from 1 species
AAUAUUGGUCAAUGGGCGCAAGCCUGAACCAGCCAUCCCGCGUGAAGGAAGAAUGCGCUACGCGUUGUAAACUUCUUUUCCAGGGGGAGAAUUUUCCUGUCGAGACAGGGAUUGACGGUGCCCUGGGAAUAAGCAUCGGCUAACCCCGUGCCAGCAGCCGCGGUAAUACGGAGGAUGCGAUCGUUAUCCGGAUUUAUUGGGUUUAAAGGGUGCGUAGGCGGAUUGAUAAGUCAGUGGUGAAAUUCUGCAGCUUAACUGUAGACUUGCCGUUGAUACUGUUAGUCUUGAGUGUGGUCAAGGCAGGCGGAAUGUGUAAUGUAGCGGUGAAAUGCUUAGAUAUUACACAGAACACCGAUUGCGAAUGCAGCUUGCUGGGUCAUUACUGACGCCGAUGCACGAAAGCGUGGGGAUCAAACAG